rnacentral:rRNA from 1 species
UACAGAGGUCUCGAGCGUUAGGCGGAAUCACUGGGCUUAAGGCGUGUGUAGGUGGAUGCCUAAGUACCUUGUGAAAUCCCACAGCUUAACUGUGGAACUGCUUGGUAUACUGGGUGUCUUGAGUCACUCAGGGGCGAGCGGAACAAAUGGUGGAGCGGUGAAAUGCGUAGAUAUCAUUUGGAACGCCAAUGGUGAAAACAGCUCGCUGGGGGUGUACUGACACUGAGACACGAAAGCCAGGGGAGCGAACGGG